CCUACGGGGGGCAGCAGUGGGGAAUAUUGCACAAUGGGGGAAACCCUGAUGCAGCGACGCCGCGUGAGUGAAGAAGUAAUUCGUUACGUAAAGCUCUAUCAGCAGGGAAGAAAAUGACGGUACCGGAGUAAGAAGCCCCGGCUAACUACGUGCCAGCAGCGGCGGUAAUACGUAGGGGGCAAGCGUUAUCCGGAUUUACUGGGUGUAAAGGGAGCGUAGACGGGGCGCCAAGUCUGGAGUGAAAUGCCGCCGCUUAACUGCGGAACUGCUUUUGAAACUGGCGAACUAGAGUGCGGGAGGGGUAAGCGGACUUCCUAGUGUAGCCGUGACAUGCGUAGAUAUUAGGAGGAACACCGGUGGCGAAGGCGGCUUACUGGACCGUAACUGACGUUGAGGCUCGAAAGCGUGGGGAGCAAACAGGAUUCGAUCCCCGGGUAGUC
rnacentral:rRNA from 1 species